UAUUCCAGCUCCAAUAGCGUAUAUUAAAGUUGUUGCAGUUAAAAAGCUCGUAGUUGGAUUUGUGGCAGUGCUCGAGUGCCUUUUGGACACUCUGAGCACAGCCAUCCUUGGGAGGAAUUCGUGUGGCAUUAGGUUGUUGCAUGRGGGAUACUCAACUUUUACUGUGAAAAAAUCAGCGCGUUCAAAGCAAGCUUAUGCUUUUGAAUGUAUUAGCAUGGAAUAAUAAGAUAGGACCGUAGUACUAUUUUGUUGGUUUGUGUAUAUCGGUAAUGGUUAAAAGGGAUAGUUGGGGGUAUUUGUAUUCCAUUGUCAGAGGUGAAAUUCUUGGAUUUUUGGAAGACAAACUACUGCGAAAGCAUUUACCAAGGAUGUUUUCAUUAAUCAAGAACGAAAGUUAGGGGAUCGAAGAUGAUUAGAUACCAUCGUAGUC
rnacentral:rRNA from 1 species